UACGUAGGGUGCGAGCGUUGUUCGGAAUUACUGGGCGUAAAGCGCACGUAGGCGGCUUUGUAAGUUAGAGGUGAAAGCCCGGGGCUCAACCCCGGAAUUGCCUUUAAGACUGCAUCGCUUGAAUCCGGGAGAGGUGAGUGGAAUUCCGAGUGUAGAGGUGAAAUUCGUAGAUAUUCGGAAGAACACCAGUGGCGAAGGCGACUGACUGGACAAGUAUUGACGCUGAGGUGCGAAAGCGUGGGGAGCAAACAGG
rnacentral:rRNA from 1 species